rnacentral:rRNA from 1 species
CGCACGGGUGAGUAACACGUAUCCAACCUGCCGUCUACUCUUGGACAGCCUUCUGAAAGGAAGAUUAAUACAAGAUGGCAUCAUGAGUCCGCAUGUUCACAUGAUUAAAGGUAUUCCGGUAGACGAUGGGGAUGCGUUCCAUUAGAUAGUAGGCGGGGUAACGGCCCACCUAGUCUUCGAUGGAUAGGGGUUCUGAGAGGAAGGUCCCCCACAUUGGAACUGAGACACGGCCAA